AGCCAACAUGACCUCCCAAGAGCUUUCCUCCUGCCUUCCCACCACAGGCUUCUCAUUGGUAAUAAGAUUCAUGUUCAAACCUGGAACCUCUCAGGGAAAGGAGUGCUAGGAAGUGGCUCCAAGUCUCAGAUGGGACUCCUGGGGGUGCCACGUUGAUAACAGGUUAUAUGUAUUUUGAAACAGGAAAUCUCGCCAUCCUCACCAAAGCCAUUUCCUUGAGAGGAUUUUAUCUGGUUUGUCUCCUUGACUCCAGGCAGGGCUCCAUUCCAACCAGAUGGAAGAAUGCAGACAUCUCACAUCAUUUACACCCAGAAGGCUGUCAGCAGCAGCGCUCAGGGAGUGAGAGUGUUUAAUCUCGAGGAGGAAAUAGAAUGUAUACACACCCUGCAAACUGAGAUGUUUUACGUUGGCUCUGGCUCCUACCGCCCCCCAUGUGUGGCAGCAGCUACCAAGACUCUACUGUGAAUCCCCAUGACUGCAAUGAGAAUGAACAAAAUGAACAACCUGCAGCAACAUGAAUGGACCUCACAAGGAUAAUGUUGAACAUAAGAAGCCAGGCACAAAAGAGUGCAUAUUUUUGUGUCUGACUCCAUUACAUGAAGUUCAAGAAGAAGAAACAUUAAUGUAUGGUUUUGGAAGGCAGGAUGUGGGGAGGUAGUUGGGGCAUGAGGAGGUUUUGGGGGUACAGGGUGGUGGCAGUGUUUUGCUUCUGGUUCUGGGGGAUGGCUAAGUGUGUGUUCAUUUCAUGUAAGUUCAUAUGCAUUUGUGCAAUUGCCUGUAAAGUUGUCAUACUUCGAUAAUAUUAAAAAUAUGAAAAAUAAAAAUAUAAAGCCCAUAUGGGAGAGCACACUUCUCUGCAUUUUUUUUGCACUUUGGCGAUGAGCUGACAGAGGGGUUGUUAACAAGCACCCUACUUGCUCACUGUGCUUGGUAGGAUCCUCAACCUAGCGAGUCCCACCCCAUUCC
rnacentral:lncRNA from 10 species